rnacentral:rRNA from 1 species
UACGUAGGGGGCAAGCGUUGUCCGGAAUCAUUGGGCGUAAAGCGCGUGUAGGCGGUUCAGUAAGUCUGCUGUGAAAGUCCAGGGCUCAACCCUGGGAUGCCGGUGGAUACUGCUGGGCUAGAGUACGGAAGAGGCGAGUGGAAUUCCCGGUGUAGCGGUGAAAUGCGCAGAUAUCAGGAGGAACACCUAUUGCGAAGGCAGCUCGCUGGGACGUCACUGACGCUGAGACGCGAAAGCGUGGGGAGCAAACAGG